rnacentral:rRNA from 1 species
AUUGAACGCUGGCGGCAGGCCUAACACAUGCAAGUCGGACGGUAGCACAGAGAGCUUGCUCUCGGGUGACGAGUGGCGGACGGGUGAGUAAUGUCUGGGGAUCUGCCCGAUAGAGGGGGAUAACCACUGGAAACGGUGGCUAAUACCGCAUAACGUCGCAAGACCAAAGAGGGGGACCUUCGGGCCUCUCACUAUCGGAUGAACCCAGAUGGGAUUAGCUAGUAGGCGGGGUAACGGCCCACCUAGGCGACGAUCCCUAGCUGGUCUGAGAGGAUGACCAGCCACACUGGAACUGAGACACGGUCCAGACUCCUACGGGAGGCAGCAGUGGGGAAUAUUGCACAAUGGGCGCAAGCCUGGUGCAGCCAUGCCGCGUAUAUGAAGAAGGCCUUCGGGUUGUAAAGUACUUUCAGCGGGGAGGAAGGCGAUGUGGUUAAUAACCGCAUUGAUUGACGUUACCCGCAGAAGAAGCGCCGGCUAACUCCGUGCCAGCAGCCGCCGUAA